rnacentral:rRNA from 1 species
GACGAACGCUGGCGGCGUGCUUAACACAUGCAAGUCGAACGGAAAGGCCCUGCUUUUGUGGGGUGCUCGUGUGGCGAACGGGUGAGUAACACGUGAGUAACCUGCCCUUGACUUUGGGAUAACUUCAGGAAACUGGGGCUAAUACCGGAUAGGAGCUCCUGCUGCAUGUUGGGGGUUGGAAAGUUUCGGCUGUGGGGGAUGGACUCGCGGCUUAUCAGCUUGUUGGUGGGGUAGUGGCUUACCAAGGCUUUGACGGGUAGCCGGCCUGAGAGGGUGACCAGCCACCAUGGGCCUGCGAUACGGCACAGACUCCUAUGGGAGGCAGCAGUGGGGAAUCUUGCACAAUGGGCGGAAGCCUGAUGCAGAAACGCCGCGUGCGGAAUGACGGCCUUCGGGUUGUAAACCGCUUUCGCAUGUGCCGAAGCGUGAGUGACGGUAAUGGGUAAAGAAGCACCGGCUAACUACGUG